rnacentral:rRNA from 1 species
GACGAACGCUGGCGGCGUGCCUAAUACAUGCAAGUAGAACGCUGAAGGAGGAGCUUGCUCUUCUGGAUGAGUUGCGAACGGGUGAGUAACGCGUAGGUAACCUGCCUGGUAGCGGGGGAUAACUAUUGGAAACGAUAGCUAAUACCGCAUAACAGUAGAUGUUGCAUGACAUUUACUUAAAAGGUGCAAUUGCAUCACUACCAGAUGGACCUGCGUUGUAUUAGCUAGUUGGUGGGGUAACGGCUCACCAAGGCGACGAUACAUAGCCGACCUGAGAGGGUGAUCGGCCACACUGGGACUGAGACACGGCCCAGACUCCUACGGGAGGCAGCAGUAGGGAAUCUUCGGCAAUGGACGGAAGUCUGACCGAGCAACGCCGCGGGAGUGAAGAAGGUUGUCGGAUCGUAAAGCUCUGUUGUAAGAGAAGAACGAGUGUGAGAGUGGAAAGUUCACACUGUGACGGUAGCUUACCAGAAAGGGACGGCUAACUACGUG